rnacentral:rRNA from 1 species
AUGGCGGCACUCCCUACCGACCCCAUCAACCUGAUGGACCCCUACGCCACCGCCUCCACCUCCCCACGCCGCGACUGGGUCUUGCUCCACCCGUCGGCGCGUAUCUCCGACCUCCACAACGCAACCACCCUCGUGUCCAGGACGACGGACGGCCAGCCCGUCGUGGCGUCCUUCUGGCUCGUCGACCCGCCGGGCGUCUCCUACUUCUCCGUCCACUGCCCCGGCCUCAAAGUUUCAGAUCCGGACGACUUCGCCCACGACGAUCCCGACCCCGGCGUCAUCUGCGCCGACAUCGUCUGCGCGGAGGCAGCGUUCCUUCUCUUCGACGUGACCUUCAACGCCCCCGACGGCCCCUUCCCGGAGUCCACCCACCACUUCCUCUACAGAGCCGGCCCCGGGGAGCCAGCACUGCACCUGCUCCCGAACGAUAUUCCAGCAUACGAAACCCGGCCGCAAUUCGGCCUCUUGCCCUGCGGCGAGCAUUAUGUCGUGGCCUUCCUACGGUGGAACAGGACCAUGGGUGAUCAUAUGUUUGAUGUCCAUGUCUUCUCGUCCCAGACACAGGCAUGGAGUAAGAAGGUUGGGUUGCUGGCUAUAUCAGAGUCUGAUAAGAGAUAUUUUAGUCGGCAUGAUGCCUGCAGGCAGAUCAGGAUUGGACGCUCACUGGGCUGGGUUGAUCUCUUGCGUGGUAUUCUUCUACUUCGCAGACCGUUCGAUGAACAUCCUCUGAUCGAAUACAUCCUGUUUCCCGCGCCAAGUCCGCCUUGCUCCGAACUAUCAUACGACGACGACGAGCUAGGAGGAUCUGACGCUCCUCAAUAUUUUCGUGAUGUGGCCUGCUGCGAUGAUUUGAUCAAGUUUGUCAACGUAGAAUACCAUGACCCUUCCAGUUGCAGGCCUUGCUGUGGCAGAGAUAAAAGUUGGAAAGCCACCAUAUGGAACAGGAAGCUUUCUUCAGGAGAUUGGCGACGGGGAUUCACAGUUGAUGUUGCCGAUAUCUCCCUUGACCAAAGCUAUUCUUCUUUACUGCCGGAACUAUGGGACGACGAGACAGACAAGUUACACCUGAAGAAACUGAUUUUCUACACCCCCACCCUCAGCAUCUGCAAUGAUGAUCUUCUUUACGUCAUGUCCAAGGUGAAUGAUGAAGACGACAAGGCCUGGGUCAUCACAGUUGACAUGAAACAUGCGGUUGUGCAAGCAAUAGCCCCGUUUUCUGCUGGCGACAUCGACCUCCUCCCAAUGUACCGUCCAUGCUCCUUCCCCAAGUACCUCAACAUGACCCCAGGCGUAGAUAUAACCAACAAAGUGUACAAGUGCUUUACAAGGAUGGAUGUGGAGAAAUGUAUUGAGGAAUUUCUGUGGACUCGAGACUGGCUUAGGGAACUUUGUCAAUGCUUGGAACAUGAAAGGUCAAUUUACAUCAAUUGUAGCUCACUAGUCUGUCCAGUGUCAUCUCUACGUUUGAUUACUCCAAUAGUGGUAGAAUACGCUUCCUCUGUUGGUGAAGGCAAAGCUAAAGCUGCCACCGAAGCUGUGAAUGUUUGCUCACGAGCUUUGGAAGAUUUCAACUGGCUACUGUGGAAGCCGCGAAGUGAUGCAUCAACAUCUACUAAAGCCAUGAGGAGAAAAAUCAAUACCACCCUUAAAGCUUUAAAGAACGUCUUGCAAAUUGUGCCACAAUCAAUGAUGGCGGGAGGAACAACAGUGGAUGGAGCAACGACCCUUGCAGAUUCCUGCCACCAAAAGAGACGGAGACCAGUAUUUGAACGUCGUGAGGGACCAGGCCAUCAAAUUGAGUACAUAGAGCCUGGCUUUUCCGGUGCCAAUCUAUUCUGUGAUCGCUGUGAGAAGGCAGGCCAUGAGAAGGACCAAUGUGACGAUGAGCAUCAACUGCAACAGAACCUCCAUGGCUCUCUGGGUCCCUGGUUGAAGCCCCAAGAGGUUUGGCUCAUUUUGGCGAUUGCUUUUAGUGCACUAUUUCUGUAUGCUUGCGAUAUGUAA